CCUCGGGGAGGCUCCUGCGGCCCACAGCCAGGCACCCAGCUUAGGGCUACUCCGCAGCCCACACCACGUCUGCCCUCGGCCAGAGCAGGCUUCUGGGGCCAGGGGAGCCCGGGAAGACCCCUGAGCAUCAGGAGGAGAAAAGCGUCUGUCCCCGGCAGAUGGGGGGGGGGCGGCCUCAGAGAGCCCCAGACCAAUGCUCAGAGCCUCAGUCUGUGGGGUGAGGGCAUCCCUGCACACCCCUAAGUGGGGCUGAAUCACCCUUGGAGCUGCAGAGGGGAGCAAAGGUUUCCGGGGCGAAGGUGCGGCUGGCGCGGCCUCACGGCCUGGCUGGCAGGGGUCUGCGGCCCCACCCGCUACGAGCAGGGGCGGACCAUCUCCACGGCAGCCCAGACAUCCAGGCCCCAGACUGCUGAUCGAACUCAUCCUUGCCCCAUGCUUCUGAGGCAAAGGUCACCGUGGAGAGCACGUCCCCAGGCACUGAGUUUCGGAGUGUGAGCAAGCUCCGGGGCUCCGCCCAGGGCUCUUGGGCAGCCACCCGCAAAGAGCCUCGGCUGGUGCCAGGGCACGCUGGCCCUGCCCACGGGGCUGGAGAGUCCCCACCAUCAGCCUUACUCCACGGCACCAGGCACUCAGCCUAAGCACCAGGCGAGGCUCAAGGCCGGCAGAGCUCCCUGGCCCGCCCCGCCCCACCGGGCUGAGUUUGGGGCAGGCCACGUGCUGGCUGCGACCAGUGCGCCAGGCCGACAGGGUGGGGGCAAGCACCCCUGUGCCGUGCUCCAGCCAGAGAGGGGGCCAGUGCCGGCCCUCGUGGCCCCCUCCACGUGGCGGGUGACCCUGGCUCCCACGAGGCAUCCCCACGAUGCCCUGCCCUGCACACCCUCCAUGACUGAUGGCGGCUGCUGCAGAGGGGCGCCCCCGGCAUCCCGCACCAUCGGGGGCCAGCGCGGGCCCCGUGCUGGCAAGGGCUGGGCUGGCAGGGCUGGGCUCGGGGCUCUGAAUCUCUUUGGCUGGCAGGGGGCAGCCCAAGGGCUCCAUCCAGGGCGAGAGAGAGAGGUGAAAGCCCACUCAGGGACACGGGGCAUCGCCCCUCAGACACAUGCUGGGCGCCAGACCUCCAGGUAGGCCCCCUUCCCCACCAGGGCAGAGGCCCCACAGUCGGGGUCUUGGGCUGGCUGGAGGCACAGGGCUGACCCAGCCUCCUGGAUCCCCGGGGUCCAGCUCUGAGCGGGCGGCUGGGGCUGCACCCUGGUCCAUUCGCAGGGCAGGGGCCAGCCCAUGGCCCCAGGCGCAGGGAGGCCGAGGGGAGAAGACCCGUCUCUAGAGACAAGAGAGCCUCCUUGGGCGCCUGGGUGGCUCAGUUGGUUAAGCGACUGCCUUCGGCUCAGGUCAUGAUCCUGGAGUCCCGGGAUCGAGUCCCGCAUCGGGCUUCCUGCUCAGCAGGGAGUCUGCUUCUCCCUCUGACCCUCUUUCCCUCUCGUGCUUUCUAUCUCUCAUUCUCUCUCUCUCUCAAAUAAAUAAAUAAAAUCUUUUAAAAAAAAAGAAAAAAGAGAGCCUCCUUGGAGUCCAGCUCCUGAGGCCCCGUUCUGUUCCACCUGCCAAGGGCCACAAGGUGCCACAGUGGAGGGGGGGCGUCCCGGGCUCUGGCUUUACCCGCCGCACACGGCGGGGCGGGGGGGGGGGGGGGGGGGGGGGGGCGGGGCUGGGUUUGAAGCCCUGGAGGCGGAGCCCGGUGGGCGGCUCUCCUCGGAUGCUCGGGCAUCCUCAAAUGGAGAGCUGGACACCGGGUUCCCGCUCAGCUGCUCGCCCGCCGCCGUGAGCCCCAGAUGCCUCCCUUUGUCACACAGCUGCGACGCUGGUCCUAGAAAGCCGGCCGCAGAGGCUCUGGCAUCUACCGGGAGACUGGGGGCCUUUCCGGUGGCCAAAGGGGAGCCCCAGGAAGCAGCCUGACGUCAAGCCCGGCGGACUUCCAAGUGGGCUGCGGCCUCGGCACAGCGGGGAGUCAGGUAUAAAUCACGCUCCGAGCCGGCAGCUCGGCUCCUCUCCUGUCCUCCUGGGGCCGGACGCGAGGGCCGGGGCGGUCCCCACGGCGCCUCUAGUCCUCCUCGCCUGCGCUCCUCGGGCCGGCCUUGCGCACGCUCUCGUGGCUGGCAGUGGGCGGCUGCCUGCGUGUGGUUAGGGUUGUGACAGUGAUUCAACCUCCAGCAACUUGGCCCCAGUGUCUGGCCCGGAUGGUGGUUACGACACCCUAGGCCAGGGCAGGGGCCCCGAAGUGUGUGAAGGUUGCUGUCCUUGGGCUAGGCUGGAGCAGUGGAUGCAAAUCAGAGGACUCCAGCGGCACCCCCCCAGGCUCCCCCCCCAACCUCAGAAGGCCCAGUGGUGCCCUCAGCCUGCUUGUACUGGGGAUGGAUGCCACACUGGGGAGCACACUGCAGACUGGGGGUCACCAGCCCUGCCCACCCUCCCGCCUCCAGCAAGCACCGGAGCUUGUUCCCUUUUCCCUGGACAUCUCCUGAACCUGGCCCCUGACCUCUCCUGGCCUCCUGCCGCCUUCCUGCAAUGCCUCAUUCCCCCUGCAUCCUGCAAGGCCACUCUCUUUAGAACAUGGGUCAGAUGAGGCCGGUCCCUGCCCUGAGGACAGAGCCCCACGUUCCUCAGCCUGGCCUCCCUCUCACCCGCCCCUGCGCCCACAGCCCUUGGUGGUGCUGGCACUGCCCUGUGCCUUCCACCUGCUGGCCCCUUGGCUGGGACCACCUCGCCAAAGCCCCCACCUGCCCACACUCACUCCCAUUCUUGCUGUGGGCCUCUGUUAAGGCUUUCUCCAGGAAGCCCUCCCUGACUGCCCCUUCCUGUGCUGCCAGAGCUCUUCCCGCCAGAGGACCGUCAAAGCCUAUGCGCCGAGAGGAGGGACCCGUGUCCUGUUCCAUGCCUGACCAACAUGUGGCCUGAGGAGGAGCCCCAGCCUCCCUCAAGGCUCUCCUGUGUAGUCAGUGCUGUGACCUCAUGGGCCCGGGAUGUGGGUGUGCCCCUGACCCUGCUCCUCUGGGCACUCAGACCCCAGGAUGCCAGGCUAGCAGCUGGGUCUGCGCCCUGCCAUCUGGCUGUGGGCUCCGAGGGACCAGAGCCCUGGUGCCCGGGCCCCAGCAUGUGUCCAGACCAUCCCCGGGUCACAGGCUGGUCUUCCGUGCCCACCUGACGCCCCUCAGGCCACACCUUACCCCGACGGGGCCCGGGCCCAGGCUGGCUCCUUGGAGCCUCCGCAGCAUCCCUCACAGCCCAAGGCCUCCUGCCCAGAGCGCAGCAGCCCCAGGGGCUCAGGGCCCCGAGCUCAGCCAGGAGGGCCCGGAGAGCUGAGUCCUCACGGCUACUUCCAGACAAAGAACACACUUCAUCCAAAGACAAUGGCCCUCAGGAGACCCCGUGUGCGCCAGGCCCUGGGGGUGCUGCAAGCAAGGCGCAGGGCUGGGUCCCAGGGCAGGCCCCAAGGGCUGCAGGGAGCCGUCUGGUAGGCCAAGCUGGCGUGGGGCUGAGAGCCUCUGGCCCAAUCCCCCCCAGACCCGCCUGCUGCCAGGACCUCCGGGGACCCAUUCACCCUGUGGGAAGGGCAGGGGGCAGUGUGCGCCCCGGACUGCAGGCGCCUCUAUGCUGAGCGGAGCGGGACUGGCUCUUGAAGCCUCUGCAAGCAAUACCCCCACCUCCCCCGGCCCCCCUCCUGCCUGCAAAGAGCCCGAGGGAGUAAAGGAGGCCAGGGAGGGUGGGAACUUGCCCACCAUCCUACAGCCAGCAGGGGGGCCUCUCAGGACAGCAGGGGCCACACGGGUCCUCAGCAGACAGCCCUCCCUGCCCUGACUCCUGCCACAGAGGAAGCCCGCAGUCUGCGUGGCACCGUCCCCACACCUCCGUCUGCGGCAUGCCUAAGGAGAGGCCCGAGGGGAGUCCGGCCACUCCAGCCCCUGUCCCCAUCCCUGCCUGGCAGGCAGGCAGAGCUGGCUGAGGCACCCCAACCUCAGGCCAUAGCAGACACAUGCUGAGCCACGUGGGUCUGCACGGCUCCGGGGCCCCGGGUCCUGCCUGCCGUCCGGCCCGCUCUGGAGGCGGCCUGCUUCUCACUUCACAUGGGCUGUGCCUCCCCUCCAUGCAGGUGGCCGGGACCCUGACCACAGCAGAGUGGGAAGUGAGGGGAGCUAAGCACACCUGCUCGAGUGUGGGAAUGACUGGGGGGGGGGGUCGUCUGCAUAGACAGAGACUCCACCGCCUUUGCAGCCCAGGAGCAGUGGGGCCCCUGAGCCCAGCAUGCAGACUGCACCCCCUAGGCGGGGUCCCGGUGGGGGCAUGGGCUCAGAAGUGGGGUGGGGGCUGCAGCCUAAGCGUGGGAGGCCAAGGUGGGCAAAUGAGCAGAGAGAGGGAGGAGAUGCUGGGAAGUGGGAGGCGAGGCUGCAGAAGGCCUAGGGACUUCCAGGUGACCUCAAUGCUCCAUGGUGGCUGGAGGGACAGAAGCUGCAGAACGGCCCCGGCGCGGCGGCCCACGGACACCCUUCUCUGAGGUGCUCUCUGGGCACACUCCCUGGUCUGCUCAGGGUGGGCUGCCGGGCCUGACACAGAAGCUGGGGAGAGCUUCGAUUCCAGAAGGCAGCACAAGGCCCCUCCCUGCAAGGCCGCAGGAAGCAGUCGUGCCGUCUCAGCGGGUGUGUGUCUUGGCCCAGCAGCUGAACCCACAAACCGGGGGCAUUUCCGCUAGGACAAGACAUGGGGCUGACCUGGCCAUGGCCUCCUUGCAGCUCUGGGGAGGCGACCUGCCCCCAUCGGAGCAGCUCUGUGGGCACAGGACGCCCACCCUGCUUGGCCGGUGCGGCAUGGGACCCGACGGGGUUGGCCCUGGGGAACCAUCGGCAGGGCCGUCUGUGUGUCAAUCCCCAGCAUCGGUAGGAGGGGUGGGCGCUACAGCAGGGACUCUGCUCCAACCCGAAGCUCAGGGGCGCAGCGAGGGCCCAGCCUGUGCCCAGCUGUGUGUUGGGGGAGGCCCACCUCACGCGGUGUGCAGAGACCAGCUCAGCUGAGCCCAGCCUGGCUGGGCCUCAGGCUUUCUGCCUUCCCUGAGAGUGACAUGGCCAGGCAGCCUUAUGGCACCAAGGUGCCCAGGGGAGUGCGGGAACAGAGCACCAGGCCUUUCUCAGUGCAACUGGAGGCCCUGUGGACUAGCCUGUGGGCCUGGCCACUUUCUGGGCAGGAUCGGGGUUGCUCUGCCAGCCGACUCAGUUGGCCAGGACACCGACCAGGGAAGUGCUACCCGGGUGCCAGCAGACUUUGCUUGUGUGUGUCGGGGGGGGCGGGCAGGUGGGGUAGGCCAGGCCUGGGCCUUCACCCCCAUCUCUGCACCGGGCAGAGGCUAAGCAGGGCCAGGGGCUUGAAGCCUGGAGCUCUGAGUUGAACAAAGCUUUCCAAAGCUCUGCCUGCCAUCCCUCCAAUCCUCACCCAUCCACCAGGGACAUGUUGGCCUGACUCUGCCUGCCCGUCUCUCCAGUGUGGACCUUGGAGCCCGCCAGUGCAGCCUCUCUGCACUGCAACCCACCCCCACCGCCUCCUCGAGGGACCCACCAUGGGGCGUGGGGGCUCAUAGGCAGCAGAGCGUGGCUCCGACCUCAGAAGGCGGGAGCACCAGGCCCUUCCAGCUCCUGGCCUGGACUCCGGGACAUCUGAAUUCGCAACUGCCCGUGCGCAGGUGGAGAGUCCACUUAAGGGAAAGGCGACAGUUUGCUCGGCCUGCGAGAAUGAGCUUGGAGUCCAGCCUUCGAGGAUGUCAUGGCCAGGCCCCCAGAGGGCCCUGUGGCAGCCGCCCACCAUUCCCCAAACACCGCGAGACACUUGGCCCCUACCAAAGCCAGCGGCAGCCUGAACAAAAGGGCACCCAACACCCAACUAAACGCCAGUGUUGGCGUCCGCCAGUCAAGCUCUCACUGGAGUGGCCCCUGCGGGACAGGACAGGGGACAUGCUGACGUCGCAGUAGCCCCUGCGCGCAGGGGUUCUUGCUGGUGGAGGACGUCCGAUGGGAUGUGGGGUGACUUUGGGCCGAGCUCCCCAGUUCCCAGCCCUGUCCCUCCGUGGUGGUCAGCCCCUUUCCCAGGGCUGCUCCUGGGGAUCCGAUAUCAUCUGGAGUCUCAGCCAGUUGUGUGAGCGAAGGGGGACAGAGUCAGGCUGUGGAGUGCAGGACCUGCCUCAUGGCCACUAGCGU